rnacentral:tRNA from 1 species
ACCUGGCUGGCUCAGUCAGUGGAGCACGAAACUCUUGAUCUCAGGGUUGUGGGUUCAAACCCUAUGCUGGGUG